rnacentral:piRNA from 1 species
AACAGAAGGAAUUCGGGAGUGAGA